UGACUCACCAGUCAUUAGGGAAUCGAACCCGGGCCGCCCGCGUGGCAGGCGAGCAUUCUACCACUGAACCACCGAUGC